rnacentral:lncRNA from 1 species
CUUUCUCUUUUCUUCUUUUUUUCCGCUCUCCCUCUUCCUUAAAAAAAAUUCUAAACCAUAUACAUUAGGAUUUGCACUGGUAUAUGCAUAGUAGGAGAUCUAUUUUUUCUAUCCUAGUGAAUCCAAUCCUGAAAUUGAAUGACUGAUCCACAUUAAAUCUGACAAUCAAAUGGCUAAAAAUCCUAAAGAACCACCUAGACAGAUGAAGAAAUAUUUUAUUCCUUCCACCUAUAAUCCAUUGACUUGUAUCUACUUACUUGAUAUUCCUGCAAG